GAGACCAAUGGUUACAAUGAUGUAACCCAAGACAAGACCUCCUACUAACUUGUACAGUAUAUUUGAAAUACAAAUUCAAAGAGAUGAAUAGGGCUUAAGAUAAUAACUCAACACCUAUAAUAAACUGAACUAUGAAAUGAACCCAAUGACUAACCCCAUGAAAAUGAGCCCAAUGAGGAUCCAAAACAUCAGAUCAUCUUCUUGACAAUUCCUCAACCUAAAUAGACGCGAGAAACAUAGAGAUGAACUGCGAUGAACAGCUCACUCUUGUCACCCCCCCGCAAGAUCGACAUGGGGAGUCACCAUGUUGAGCUUGGCUAAGAGAUGAUGAAUCCGGUCCACCGAUAGAGGUUUUGUGAAGAGAUCUCCAAGCUGCUCAACAUAUAUGGCCAGAAAAUGGUUAAAAGAUAUACUUGAAGUCAUCAUAUUACGUUGAUAAUCUCCAAGCGGAUUGAUUGUAUGAAGAAGAAGAAGAAGAAGAACUAUAAAAAGAAGAAGAAGAGCUCAGUUCAUUGGAAUGAAUUGACUUAAAGCCAAAUGGUCAAAAAUGAUUACAAU